GGAGAAGUACCCAAGCGGCUGAAGGGACUGGUUUCGAAAACCAGCAGACGUGCGAGCGUGCGGGGGUUCGAAUCCCCCCUUCUCCGCCA
rnacentral:tRNA from 1 species